AUCAAGGUCUAUUGAGGAUAGAGGUCGAAUUAUAGCUUGUUUCUGGUCUGACAUUUUGAAUCCUGUUUUGACAGUUCAGUAAGAAAGUGUUUACAAAUAAUUGCAGCAGAUGGGUGCUGUUCUUUUAGCUCGCAUUUUUUAGUUCAAAUACAGAAAAAACAUGUGAAAUAAUACAAAUCUUCCUUGUUACUCGUGCUGAUAACUUCAUAUGCAGCUUCGUGUACAUAUCUAGCUCCAUGUAAUCACAGGUCACGGAAACUAACUCCAAUAACUUCCAAAAGCUCCAAUCCUCAAAUCCUGCUCUUAUCUCACUUUUUCUUUCUCAUUGGCCUGCUUACGAUUGAGCCCAGCGCCGUUGAAUGGCCGGGACUACUACUAUUUUAUCAGGAGGCUCGAUGCCUUCAGCGUCCAUCAAUGCAGGCAUCCGAUCACCGACAGUCCCUGCUUAGUCUGAUUCCGGAUCCACCUAGUACCAAACACAGGACCGACCACUUUCUUGGAGGCCAUUACUACGGCAUUUUCAUUACAUGCCCCAGCCAUCGUAUCAUACGCCCUGACUACCGUUAGGAUAUCCGAUUCACCAUACACCUCAGAAAGCUUAGCAUUGUUGAUUUGUAUGGCAUUAGUUAUACCUAAAAAUUGGAAGCAGUUUGUAAUCAGGAUAAUGGUUUACCUUCCGCAAGAGAGUCAGGAACCACUUACAGUCAAGCGGUGAAUUGUGCCAUAUGCUUAUCAUUAACCUCGAAAAUUUUACUGACAGCGUAUAAUGGUUAACAACUGCGCGUAGCUGUAAGUUUAUACCGGUUUUAAUUAUUUUCUAAUUUAUGAUUCCAUACGUGGCCACGUUAGGAAGAUUUGCCCAGGAAGGAACAAACUGCUUAGAUAUAUUAGAUAUAGAUAGGCAAAAACUGGUGCGUUUUAGCUCAUCUUGAGAAUAGGAAACAAGAAGUAUGCAAAAUAAUGCAUUUCUAUGAGAUACUCAUCGUAACCAGUGGCGGAUCUACCGGUAGACGGACUAGGCGGUCGCCUGGGGCCCCGCCGAUUUAGGGGACCCGUAGUUCUGAAGUCUAUAGUAUGCCGUAUGGACAGAGUAAUAGCGGCAAUGGCCCCCGGAAGGAUGGACGUUGUGGCCCCAAGGCUGGCAAAUCAUUUUCACCCUCCCCCCGCCCCCUCCACUGCCAGCAAAUUUUAGAGCCUGUGACUGAUUAUCGACUGACCCCCUAGAACACCAUUUACAAUUGACAGGGGGCCUCAACUAGUCUUACCGCCUAGGGCCCCCGACACCCUUAAUCCGAGCCACUGAUCGUAACACCUUAAUUUUGGAUCUUCCAUUACUUACUUACUUACUCUUUAACAAAAUGGUAAUUUUUCGGAUGAGUGAGUGAGAAAAUACAGUUGGUGAACGGGUAAAGUUUCUUGAUUGUUUUUGCUUUAUUUGUACAUUUCAGUGUAUUGAUAACACAAUGCACUUUCAUGCAUUAAAUAACAAUUUAAAAAGUUCUCAUGUUUUAUUACCGUAUUAUUCUAAAUAAUUUCUAAUACAGCGGAAUACCUUACGUGCUAGCGUUUUUGCAUGUUUUAAUUCAGUGUUUUACAUCAGUGUGAAAUCCAAAAAUAUACUGACAAACCUUAAUAAGUGAUUUACGAUUAUAGAUCAUAUUGUUGUUACAAAAUGGUUAUUUAUACAUGAAAAUGAGGUAAUGUGGACUAUUUUACACAUUUGCUAAGAUACAUUUCAAAAUAUUACGGGUUAUUAAAGCAAAAAAUCAAUAGUUCAUUACAAUAAUACAGAAUAAAAAAAAUAAUACGUGGAAUACGGCAGGUCCGUUCUUAUUAAAUAUAAAAGAGCAUAUCAGUAUUUUCUUACUACAA